AUUGACACGCGACCGGAAGUGGCGGCGUGACGAGGUCGGGGCUAUAAAAGGCGGAGCGCGCCGCGUCACAGCUCACAGUCGACGGCGGCGCUGGUGAAGACAUUGAAGAUUUUUAGAACGUCAAAACAGCGCUCCUGGUGUCUCGACUUGCAAGGCGCCCCCCUCCCCCACACAUCCCCCCCUCCCCCUCGAUGCCAGCAAGCGUUGGAUAAGGGUGACGUACCUUCGGUUUCUUUGUCCGCCAAAGCGUAACGCCGAAAUUUUUUUUUUUAAAAAACCUUUGCUCAAGUCGCUUCUCCCUCCCUUCCCCCCACACACGUGUCUUUGUUUAGACUUUAGACGAUGUGGCAUUUUACUGGUAGGAACUAAGUUGUUAACUGAUUGUACCAGCCUGCAAUAAGAUGAAUGUGUCCGUCCGUCCCCUUUCAAUGCUUUAACGAAGUUGAAAUCUCGUGCUUGUUGGGGUGUAAAAUCAGCAAAUGGGCGGCACAGAGAGACUUGAACGUGUCUUACUGGCACCCAACAUUUGGAAUGUCACGUAACCAGGAAUGCGUGCCAAUGUCGUGAAGUUGCGCAAAAUUCCCCAAUGUUCCUAUACCAGCCCCCCCCACCCUGGAGGGGGGGGGGCCCUGUUUUUCGCUGCGACGUGCGGUCAUCGGCUGAAUCGGUUUCGGACCCCCCCCCGCCGCCGCCGUGCUUUGUGUAGCGAGGCGGCGGCGUUGAGGGUCCUCGUGGUGUUGCGCUCCAAGCGAAAUGUACAAAAACGGGUGGUGGGUUGGGGGGGUUAAACGUGCGUUCUCGGUUAUUCGGUUUUAAGUUUUGUGUUAUCCCAACCAAAGCACUUUUUUCCCGUGUGGCCCACGUCCGGUGAUGGUGGUGGUGGUGUUGUUGGUUUGCCGGUGUUUGUGACUGUGGUGGGUUUGGGGGGAGGUGGGGGUUGGCUUUUAGGGCAACCGGAUUUUUUUUAAAGUAAAAAAAAUACUUUUACGGAAGCUCUCCCAACUCGGUUUUUGUGACCCCCCCCCCCCAGGUCAGUCGUGUUUGUUUCUCUGGGAGGGAGUUGGGUUGUGCCUGGCGGGAGAGACUGGGAGCCCUUGUGCGUUUGAGUCGCAGGUCUGUGUAUGUGUACGGUUCAAGACGGGGGGCUGUGUAGGUUCGUGUAACGUAACAGGUUACACUGGUAGGAACUAAGUUGUAAACUGAGUGUACCAGCCUGCAAUAAGAUUAAUGUGUCCGUCCCCUUUCAAUACUUUAACGAAGUUGAAAUCUCGUGCUUGUUGGGGUGUAAAAUCAGCAAUGGACGGCGCAGAGAGACCAGGAAUGCGUGACAAUGUGAAAUUGCGCAAAAAAUCCCCAAUGUUCCUAUACCAGCCCCCACCCUGCAGGGGGGGCUGUUUAACUCGCCCUUUCUCCUCCCCGCAAAACCCUCCCAACACGACCGCUUUUACGACCCGAUGAACUCAACCCAUGAAGGAAAUGUGGACGAGUUUUUUUAUUUUGUUGUUGUGUCAAGCAUCGUGAAAUAAAAACCCCCGUCGUGUUUUUCUCCCCAAACCCCCCCCCCCCAACCCACCCCAUGAAACAACAGCGAAGAGGAAAUAAAGCGAGGAAUGCUGCGAGAUGCCAAAACCAAAAGUUGUGCUCUGUUUUUCUGCUCAACCUCCCCCAAGAUCAUGUCGUCUUGUGUGGGUUGGGCGAGUUGUGGGGUUGGUGUGGGGUGGUGGUGGAAGCAAAGUGCGAGCGAGGCGGGGAGAGAAAGAAAACCCCCUCCCUUGGAAAGUUGCAGCCUGGAAUAACCCGUCGAAAGGUUGCGUUCACUGCUCCUGGAACAUUUGAAAAACGGACGAAUUUGUGCAGAGAUUUUGUUUUUAAAUUGCCGGGAUGAAAAGUUCUGUUCGCUGCUCCUGGAACAUUUGAAAAACGGACGAAUUUGCAGAGAUUUUUUUUUUUAAUCCGCCGGGAUGAAAAGUCUCCACGAAAAACUCAUUACGGGGUCGUCAUCGCGGCCGCUUCACGUCGGUUUGGCAACGUCAAAAAAAAACCCCUGGCAAAUGCGCAUUUGUGUGGCGUCUGGAAGGUUUCGGAAAAUUAACGAUUGGACAAAUCGACGCUCGACAAAUUGUAGAGGAAUUUGAAGUAAAUUUUCCCAAACUUAAACGUGCUUCCGCAAGCGCUUCUCGAAGGGGGGUGGCUCCCCCCCCCCCCCACUUCUGGAAAGAUUUAACGAUUGACUUUUUUUUUUACGAACGUGGAAAUUGCGUUGGAUUUCUGAAGCGAUUCGUUAAAAUGCAACCGCUUAAGAGACUUGGGGCAAGGCUCGGGAAGACCCACCCCCCUCCACUGCCAUUCUGACGAGGCAUGCAGCAGCUUGCUUGCAUUGCGCUCUUUGGUGUGCUUAUUAGGGGGGGUGGGGAGCAUUGUGAAGCGACAACUCUUUAUCGGCCUGGUGUUCUGCGCAGAUUGCUCCGAGGGGAGAGAAAGGGGGGGGGGGCGGCACAUCGUCCGGGAGACGCGAAGCGGAUGCGCCGGGGCGGGCUGGCUCGCUCGCUCGCACAAGGCUCCCCUUGCUGCCGCGAAAUCUGUCGUCGGGUCACAAACGUCGCGCUCGGCCAUGGCAACGCGCCCACCGCCUCCGCCCGCAACGCCGCUAUACUGUCCACCGCUCCUCCACCGCCCGGCCACGGUCCACCGCCCUCUGCAACUGCCGCUACUGGGCCACGGGAAGUUCGCGCAGCUGCUCCCGUCUGCCCUUGCCAACCCUCCCCCCCCCCUCCCUCUUCCUCCGUUGUGCGUUUUGUAGCCGCUUCCGUGGGUUGGCGGCGUUGUUGUACCGAGCUCCCACCGACCCAGCCAAUCCUGUGGGUGGCGCAGGCUGUGCGGUAAACCUCUCGUCACCACUCCCGCACGCAAUUUUUUUUUUACCCCACGUGGUUGGGGGGGGGGGGUUGUCCUUAACCAAACGUCUUCCAGAAGUUUCUCCCCCCCCCCCUUCCUUAGCAGAGCUUGCGUCUCCAUAGCCCAGGCGGUGAGGCGUCUCGUGCCUCAUGUUCUAGGUAAACCAAUGGAUUCCCACGCACCCGCUCCACUACCUGUGGCACAUACGAAUCUGUACGUUGCUGUGGCUUGCCAGAAAUCUUGAGGGGGGGGUGGGUGGUGGGGGGGGGUGUGGGCCUUUCACGUUCUCUGUUACAGAAUCUAGUCGAACAUCCGCCCCUACCCUGUACAACAACCCCCAGCCCUGGAGAACGGGGAGAAGAGACCACGCACACCAAGCCCCAUUACACCGCCAAUAACCAGGGAGUGCCCUUUUGACUCCUCACACACCGCACGCGUUAUUUCUCAAUGGGUCACGAGUUGGCUCGCCAGCCAGGUGUGAACAUGGAGCUGUGUUUAUCAUUGUCAAGGCUGAGCGGAUGGAUGGUGGUGAUGGGUGGAAUGGGGGAAAAACGCAACCCCCCCUACUGCUGUACGGACGGGCAGCCCAGCCGCGGAAGGAGGGGCCGGAAUCUUUGCCGCCACCAGGGAGUGUCCUUGAAACUCUUCAUGCUGCACAGCCACACGGCAACAUUUUAUAAUGAUUCAUCAAAUGGCGGAUUGGCCUUGGCUUCUCCAGUCACGUGUGAACGCUGAGGUUGUGUUUUUAUAGUUGUCAAGGCUGAGCAGCACAUGGUAGUGGGGAAUGGGAAACAACUCGACCCACAGAGCAAGGAGCCGCACUGCUGUACAACACCAGCCUCGAGAAGCUGUACGGACCAUUACCAGCCACCAGGGAGUGUCAGACUUUUCCACACGCCAACAUUCUGUAACAAAGCUUUCUGAACAGACAAGUUGGAUGAAUCUAAAAUUACAUCUUUAAUCUGCUGCUUGUUAAUCCAUAUGACAAGAAUGGCAAUGAGCCGUGCUCUGUAGCCACGCGUGAGCAUCCACGGAGGGGUUGUGUUUUAUUAUUUUCAAGGCUCAGUGGCUGAAGGUGAUGCGGAAUGAAACGCUGGCAUCCGUUCCCGUCACCCCCAACUUUGAGAAAGAAGUGUCUGGGCGAGUUCUCAACCCAGGUAACCGUGCGAGUCUCCAGCCCGAUCCUUGGCCUUGCUCACCAAACGAGCGAUGUGGAUGUCUAUUUGAGGAUUGUUUGACGUUUUGGUUUUCGUAAUUGGCCACGCUGGGGAAAGUUGUCGGCAAGACUGUUAAAGUUUUUUUUUAACGCGGCAUAAUCUGAAACCUCAACAGUAAAACACAGCGUGAAGUUUAUGUAAUGUGACCUGAAGAUUGAAAUUAAUGUUUUCUUACGGCUGUCCCGAAAUAGUUGCGUAACCAGGAAAGGGCGUUGAUGGUGACAUUGCUAGCAAGUGGUGUGCAGUGUUGGCCUUUGGGGUGGUGGGGGGGGGCUCCUAACGUUCUGUUACAGGACCCCAGCAGUUGUGCCUAGCGCAGACGUCUUGGUUCAACUCCACGCAACUUCCUCGGUGCAACGCCACACGGUCUCAGUUGCAACUCCUCACAACCUCGCUGCAACUCCACACAAACUCGGUCAAACUCAACGUAACCUCAGAACACCUUCACGCAACCUUGCUCCAACUCCUCGCAACUUCAGUGCAACUCCACACGGCGUCAGUUACAACUCCACACAACCUCAGUGCAACUCCUCCACACAACCUCGCUGCAACUCCACGUUACCUCGGUGCAACUCUACGUAACCUCAGAACACCUUCACGCAACCUUGCUCCAACUCCUCACAACUUCAGUGCAACUCCACGUUCUCUGUGCACCUCCCAAGCAACCUUGCGACAUCGUGCAAGAGGGAAGGAAGCGCAAAUUGCUCUAUCAUCGGCCAUUCCAGGCAGUUAACGGGACCCGGUAACACCGUAAAUACUUUGACUUCCCACAUUUGCCUUGCUGCUAAUACUACUACAGGCCUUGUGUUUGUAUCGGGGGGAGUGGGGGGGGUCUCUAACGUUCUGUCUUCCAGAACCCUCUCCCUGGUCUACUCUCGCUCAAACAUCAAACAGCUCGGUACAGCUCCAAACAAAGGAAGCCCCAACGGGGCAGAGAUCCCAGGCAGUGACGGGACGGAGCCAAGUCUGCAGCCUCCUACCGCUGUUACAACCCAGUCCUUGACAGGAGAGGCCAGAGACGACCAACAGCGUCCAUCAGGGAGUGUCAAUAUCUCUCGCUACCCAGAGCAGCAGCAUUCUUUAUUAUCAAUGGCAAUGAGCCGUGCUCUGUAGCCACGCGUGAGCAUCACGGAGGUUGUGUUUUAUUAUUGUCAAGGCUGAGCGGGUGGUGGUGGUGAUGGGGAAUUGGACACGCUGGCAUCCGUUCCCGCCACCCCCAACUUUGAGAUGUCUGGGCGAGUUCUCAACCCAGGUAACCGUGCAAGUCUCCGGCCCGAUCCUCGGCCUUGCUCACCAAUCGAGCGAUUAGUUUUCGUAAUUGGCCACACGGGGAAAAGUUGUCAGGAGGACUUUGAAAGUUUUUAACGAGUCAAUACUUGAAGCCUAAUUAUAGAAUAACCACAGCAUGAAGUUUACGUAAUGUGACCUGACGUUUGAAAUCCAUGUUUUCUUAGGGCUAUCCUGAAUAUUUCCCUAAGCCAGGAAAGGGCGUUGAUGGUGACAUUCCUAGCAAGCGGUGUGAAGUGUUGGCCAUUGUGGCUCUGGGGUGGUGGGUGGGGGGAGGGGCUCCUAACGUUCUAUGUUACAGGACCCCAGCAGUUGUGCCUAGCACAGACGUCUCUGUUCAACUCUACGCAACUCCCUCAGUUGCAACUCCUCCACACAACCUCGCUGCAACUCCACGUUACCUCGGUGCAACUCUACUUAACUUCAGAACACCUUCACGCAACCUUUCUCCAACUCCUCGCAACUUCAGUGCAACUCCACACGUUCUCUGUGCAACUCCCAAACAACCUCGCGACAUCGUACAAGGGGACAGCAAGAGGGAAGGAAUCGCAAAUUGCUCCUCUAUCAUCGGCCAUUCCAGGCAGUUAACGGGACCCGGUAACACCGUUAAAUACUUUGAUAUUCACAUUUGCCUUGCUACUACUUCGACUACAGGCCUUGUGUUUGUAUCAGGGGGAGUGGGGGGGUCUCUAACGUUCUGUCUUCCAGAAUCCUCUCCCUGGUCUACUCUCGCUCAAACAUCAAACAAUUCCUUACUGGAACUCCACACAGCCUCGGUGCUACUCAACGCAACCUUGAUGCAACUCCAACACCGUCCAUCAGGGAGUGUCAAUGUCUCUUGCUACCCACAGCAACAUUACUAUGCAAUGGUCAUGAGCAGUGCCUCAAGGUAGCCACGAGUGUGAACACGGAGGUUGUGUUUAUCAUUGUCAAGGCUGAGCGGACGAUGGUGGCGAUGGGCGGAAUGGGAGAAACGCAACCCCCUACCGCUGUUACAACCCAGUCCUGGACAGGAGAGGCCAGAGACGACCAACAGCGUCCAUCAGGAAGUGUCAAUGUGUGUCUCGCUACCCACAGCAGCAGCAUUCUUCAUUAUCUAUGGCAAUGAGCCGUGCUCUGUAGCCACGCGUGAGCAUCAUGGAGAUUGUGUUUUAUUAUUGUCAAGGCUGAGCGGGUGGUGGUGGUGGUGGUGGUGGGGAAUCGGACACGCUGGCAUCCGUUCCUGCCACCCCCAACUUUGAGAAAGAUGUCUGGGCGAUUUCUCAACCCAGGUAACCGUACGAGUCUCCGGCCCGAUCCUCGGCCUUACUCGCCAAACCAGCAAUUAGUUUUCGUAAUUGGAAACGCGGGGAAAUGUUGUCGGCAGGACUUUGAAAGUUUUAAUCGAGGCAAAACUUGAAACGUUUAUUUGCAAAUGACCACAGCAUGAAGUUUACUUAAUGUGACCUGAAGAUUGAAAUCAAUGUUUUCUUACGGCUAUCCUGAAUAUUUCCCUGAGCCAGGAAAGGGCUUUGAUGGUGACAUUGCUAGCGAGCGGUGUUCAGUGUUGGCCAUUGUGGCUCUGGGGUGGUGGGUGGGGGCAGGGGCUCCUAACGUUCUGUUACAGGACCCCAGCAGUUGUGCCUAGCGCAGACGUCUCUGUUCAACUCCGCAACUUCCUCGGUGCAACGCCACACGGUCUCUGCAACUCCACACGGCCUCAGUUACAACUCCACACAACCUCGCUGCAACUACUCCACACAACCUCGGUGCAACUCCACGUAACCUCGGAACAAUUUCAUUCAACCUUGCUCCAACCCCUCGCAGCUCCAGUGCCAUCCGUUGCUUUCAAGUUUGGGACUGGGACUUGGGGGAGGGUGGGGGGGGGUCUCUAAUUCGCUGUCUUCUAGAAUUCCCAUCCAGCGUCUCUUGACUCAGAACAUUCCCGCCAGAGCUCCUCCAAGCAACAGUCUCUCACAUGGUCACAGCCAAGUCCUGGACAGGGGAGGCUUGAGAAAACCAACACCGUCAGGGAGUGUCAAUGUCUCUUGCUACCCACAGCAGCAACAUUAUUACUGUGAAAUGGUCAUGAGCAGUGCUGCUAGGUAGCCACAAGUGUGAACACGGAGGUUGUGUUUUUCAUUGUCAAGGCUGAGCGGGUGAUGGUGAUGGGGAAUCGGACACGCUGGCAUCCGUUCCUGCCACCCCCAACUUUGAGAAAGAUGUCUGGGCGAGUUCUCAACCCAGGUAACCGUGCGAGUCUCCGGCCCGAUCCUCGGCCUUGCUCACCAAACGAGCGAUUAGUUUUCGUAAUUGGAAACGCGGGGAAAAGUUGUCAGGAGGACUUUGUGAAAGUUUUAAUCGAGGCAAAACUUGAAACCUUUAUUUGCAAAUAACCACAGCAUGAAGUUUACGUAAUGUGACCUGAAGCUUGAAAUCAAUGUUUUCUUACGGCUAUUCUGAAUAUUUCCCUAAGCCAGGAAAGGGCGUUGAUGGUGACAUUGCUAGCGAGCGGUGUGCAGUGUUGGCCAUUGUGGCUCUGGGGUGGUGGGUGGGGGGAGGGGCUCCUAACGUUCUAUGUUACAGGACCCCAGCAGUUGUGCCUAGCGCAGACGUCUUUGUUCAACUCCACGCAACUUCCUCAGUUGCAACUCACACGGCCUCAGUGCAACUCUUCCAUACAAUCUCGCUGCAACUCCUCCACACAACUCCGUGCAACUCCACGUAACCUCAGAACAAUUUCAUUCAACCUUGCUCCAACUCCUCGCAACUUCAGUGCAACUCCACACGUUCUCUGUGCAACUCCCAAGCAACCUCGCGACAUCGUACAAGGGGACAGCAAGAGGGAAGGAAGCGCAAAUUGCUCCUCUAUCAUCGGUCAUUCCAGGCAGUUAACGGGACCCGGUAACACCGUAAAUACUUUGACAUUCACAUUUGCCUUACUGCUACUGCUACUACUGGCCUUGUGUUUGUAUCAGGGGGAGUGGGGGGGGGUCUCUAACCUUCUGUCUUCCAGAAUCCUCUCCCUGGUCUACUCUCGCUCAAACAUCAAACAUCUCGGUACAGCUCCAAACCAAGGAAGCCCCAACGGGGCAGAGAUCCCAGACAGUGACGGGACAGGGAGCCAGGUCUGCGUCUCGAUGUCUCGGUUCAAGUGCAGAGGAAGGAAGUGCAAACGGUCGAAUCGGUGGUGGAUACGGGCAGUUAGCGGACUUCCUGGUAGCACCGCAACUCCUUUGGCCGUGCGUUUGAAUUUGCAUCGCUGCUACUACUACAGGAUUUGUUUGUAUCGGGGUGGGGGGAGGGGCUCCUAACGUUGUGUUACAGGACCCCAGCAGUUGUGCCUAGCGCAGACGUCUCUGUUCAACUUCACGCAACUUCUUACUGGAACUCCACACAGCCUCGGUGCCACUCAACGCAACCUUGAUGCAACUCCAACACCGUCCAUCAGGGAGUGUCAAUGUCUCUUGCUACCCACAGCAACAACAUUAUUA